GACGAACGCUGGCGGCGUGCUUAACACAUGCAAGUCGAACGAUGAAGCGGUGCUUGCACCGUGGAUUAGUGGCGAACGGGUGAGUAAUACGUGAGUGACCUACCUUUGACUCUGGGAUAAGCCUGGGAAACUGGGUCUAAUACCGGAUACGACCAAUCUCUGCAUGGGGUGUUGGUGGAAAGCGUUAUGGAGUGGUUUUAGAUGGGCUCACGGCCUAUCAGCUUGUUGGUGAGGUAAUGGCUUACCAAGGCGACGACGGGUAGCCGGCCUGAGAGGGUGACCGGCCACACUGGGACUGAGACACGGCCCAGACUCCUACGGGAGGCAGCAGUGGGGAAUAUUGCACAAUGGGCGCAAGCCUGAUGCAGCGACGCCGCGGGAGGGAUGACGGCCUUCGGGUUGUAAACCUCUGUUAGCAUCGAAGAAGCGAAAGUGACGGUAGGUGCAGAGAAAGCGCCGGCUAACUACGUGC
rnacentral:rRNA from 1 species